ensembl:snoRNA
UGGAUCAAUGAUGGUAACUGCCGGUGUAUGAGUCCCAGGUGACGAGUAAUACGUGUGGUCCAA